UACGUAGGGACCAAGCGUUGUUCGGAUUUACUGGGCGUAAAGGGCGCGUAGGCGGCAUGACAAGUCACUUGUGAAAUCUCCGGGCUUAACUCGGAACGGUCAAGUGAUACUGUCGCGCCAGAGUGCGGAAGGGGCAAUCAGAAUUCUUGGUGUAGCGGUGAAAUGCGUAGAUAUCAAGAGGAAUACCUGAGGUGAAGACGGGUUGCUAGGCCGACACUGACGCUGAAGCGCGAAAGCCAGGGGAGCAAACGGG
rnacentral:rRNA from 1 species